UGGGGAAUAUUGCACAAUGGGCGCAAGCCUGAUGCAGCCAUGCCGCGUGUAUGAAGAAGGCCUUUGGGUUGUAAAGUACUUUCAGCGGGGAGGAAGGUGUUGUGGUUAAUAACCGCAGCAAUUGACGUUACCCGCAGAAGAAGCACCGGCUAACUCCGUGCCAGCAGCCGCGGUAAUACGGAGGGUGCAAGCGUUAAUCGGAAUUACUGGGCGUAAAGCGCACGCAGGCGGUCUGUCAAGUCGGAUGUGAAAUCCCCGGGCUCAACCUGGGAACUGCAUUCGAAACUGGCAGGCUAGAGUCUUGUAGAGGGGGGUAGAAUUCCAGGUGUAGCGGUGAAAUGCGUAGAGAUCUGGAGGAAUACCGGUGGCGAAGGCGGCCCCCUGGGCAAAGACUGACGCUCAGGUGCGAAAGCGUGGGGAGCAAACA
rnacentral:rRNA from 1 species